UACGUAGGGAGCAAGCGUUGUCCGGAAUCAUUGGGCGUAAAGCGCGCGUAGGCGGCCCUGUAAGUCCGUUGUGAAAGUCAAAGGCUCAACCUUUGAAAGCCGAUGGAUACUGCAGGGCUAGAGUUCGGAAGAGGCGAGUGGAAUUCCGGGUGUAGCGGUGGAAUGCGUAGAGAUCCGGAAGAAUACCGGUGGCGAAGGCGGCCUGCUGGGCAGUGGCUGACACUGAGGCGCGACAGCGUGGGGAGCAAACAGG
rnacentral:rRNA from 1 species